UGGAAUAUGAUGAAGCAAGGAUGUCAAGGAAACCACGCUGACAAAGGUGUGAGAUGCAGAAAAGUAUUUAAGUACGAGAAAUGAUGACGCAAACUAUGAAGAUACUCCCUCCGUAACUUGUCUUGUGGUCACGUAAGUGGUGAACAAUUUGACUAACGAUGGCCCCAGAGCAGAUUUGACUUGAGUUUUAGAUAUGGUGACCUAUCUGUCUGCGGGUUGGCCCUGUGGUGAGCAAAUCAGUCAAGCACAAUACCAAAGUGAAGCUUAACACUGAGCAAGGGUACUCCACAUAAGUGAUUUGGAGUUGAACAGAAGGUAAUGCAAUACAAAAGGCAUCAGCUGUGAUAUUUGGUGAG